rnacentral:misc_RNA from 1 species
GAUGAAGAACGCAGCGAAAUGCGAUACGUAAUGUGAAUUGCAGAUUUCAGUGAAUCAUCGAAUCUUUGAACGCACAUUGCGCCCGCUAGUAUUCUGGCGGGCAUGCCUGUUCGAGCGUCAUUUCAACCAUCAAGCCCUAGGCUUGCGUUGGAGCCCUGCGGCUGCCGCAGGCUCCCAAAUCCAGUGGCGGGCUCGUCGUCGUACCGAGUGCAGUAAACAUCCUCGCUCAGGGAACGUGACGGGUUCUUGCCGUGAAACCCCCCACAUAUCAAGGUUGACCUCGGAUCAGGUAGGAAUACCCGCUGAACUUAAGCAUACAAUAAGCGGAGGA